CAGCCGCCGCGGGAAUACGAAGGGGGCUAGCGUUGCUCGGAAUGACUGGGCGUAAAGGGCGCGUAGGCGGUUUGUCGAGUUAGAUGUGAAAUUCCCGGGCUUAACCUGGGGACUGCAUUUGAUACUGGCAGGCUUGAGUGUGGAAGAGGGUCGUGGAAUUCCCAGUGUAGAGGUGAAAUUCGUAGAUAUUGGGAAGAACACCGGUGGCGAAGGCGGCGACCUGGUCCAUAACUGACGCUGAGGCGCGAAAGCGUGGGGAGCAAACAGGAUUAGAUACCCCUGUAGUCCCUGUCUCUUAUCC
rnacentral:rRNA from 1 species